GGGGAGGGGAGGGCCGCACCGGGGCCCGCUUCCUUUGUUAGGCCCUGUUGCUGCAUUUAUGGACCUCAUUCACGGCGUUUGUCAAUGGAGCCGCGCACGGCGAGGCGGCGGGACCCGGAAAAAACAACAACACGCUGGAGUAACCAGGUAACCGGCAGCCAUGGCAACGCGCUGCGUGCGGACACACGGAACGUCUCACGCGCCCUCCCCCCCCCUUGAGGAAGCCCAAAACAGGAGCCUCUUCCCGGCCACUCGACUCCCCCGGUCCGCUCCCCUGGGGCUCCAGGGGAAGACUGCCGCAAAGCGUGCGGGGGUGACGUAAUGCAGACAGGCUGUCGCCAUGGCAACAAUGGAGGCUUUAUUUUUUUUCCUCCCCAUUGAAUGCUUAUUUUUAGUAUAAAGAUGGACGACAGUUUAAAAUGUAGUUUUUUUUUUAUAAUAGUGUGAAUGUAAUUGAUCAGGCUCAAGUGAAGAAAUGUUUUUAGACAUAAGGUGAAACAACAUUUUCCUUCGUUUUAUAAUAAUGUAAUAGAACACGGGAACAUUACAAUCAUUCUAUUAAUAAGGAUGCAAACGUGAUGUAGAAAGUGUCUUUUUAUUCUUAUUUCAAACUGUACCGUGCACCUUUACGGUAUGCAAAGAUGUCCCCCCCCCCCCAUCCCGUGCCCCCAUUCUGCCCAUCCCCGUCAUUUGACAGACAAAAAAAGUGUCAGAGCGUGUUGAGACGUUUGAGUGAGAAGACCGACAAGAGACACAGAUAUGAAGACAAAAAUAUAUCUCCCCCCCCACCACCACCACCACCACCUCCACAACUUAAUGCAAGUUUAUUUUCGGGAGGGGGACAAAGUCAGUCAUUGGCUAGUUAUUUACAUGCAGACUAUUCCCACCAUCUCCCCGUAGACACGCUAACGGCUGCUCCCAAAGCCAUCCGCACUGCUUCCUCCAAAUUUCUCACAGUUUACACGAAACAAACGGACGGGCAACGCUAAAUUGUCAGU